rnacentral:lncRNA from 1 species
ACUGAAGAAACCCGCCGGCUGCUGGGGCAGGGCGGCGAAAGGUCAGUCGGCCGAGAGGAGUCCGUGGAGCCACCGUUUCAUAGCCUCAGGGAAAGGAUCGGGCGUGCUCACGAGCCCUCUAACCCAUGGCUUAAACACCCGCUUCCUAAGCCUGGUUCCUGAAUAUAUCACAUGUGGUGAUAAACAUGAAGAUGUAUGAAAAAUUGUGUUCGUUGAGAGAAAAUGGAAGGCUUUUCAUUCUACUUCCACAUUUUCAUUCCAGCAGCUUUUCUGUUUUGGAAGAUGAGUACUGAAUCUUGCAAUGAAAUUUUUUUAACUUAAACAAGGUUCUUAUGCCUUUGUUUGAAAAACAUGGUUCCCUGUGAAAUUUUACAUGUAGAAGAAAGCUUCACACUACGAGAGCUCUCAGGAUAUAAUUAUUUCAGACAGAUACUGGGAACAUAAGAUGGCUUAUCAAUCUAAGAUGGCCUUCCUGUCCUUCGGAUUGAACUGAAACCAUCCCUGAUUCCAGGGAUAGGUAGAUGAUCCAGGUUUGGACAAUCAAAAUAUUGAACCACCCUGGACCUACAAGUGUUUCUGGGAUGGGAACAUGCAAACGUUGGUCCAAAUUGUUGUUCUAGGCAGCCCAGUACAUUUCUCCAAUGCCUGAUGGAAUGAUAGGGUAUGCAUAAAUGUUCAUGUGGGCUCUGGAGUAUACCAGGAACUGAAGUAAGGUACAUGGACGUCUUGAAUAUUGUAACUGAGAUGGGCAAGCCUACACCUUUGCAAAUAAAGGAGGAUUGGGAAAGAUUAAGAUCCUGUUAAACGUCAGUGUUACUAUUUAGCCUUUGAUAUCUCCAGUAAAGGCAACUUCUUUCUGGACCCAGAAAUAAAGCUUUACAUUAGCAGCUUCCAUAACACCAAUAACAUGAAUGACCAUCUACUGAGCAAUUGCAGUGCACCAGGAUUAUGGCUUAUGAGCACUUUAUGUUUAUUAUCUCACAACUCACUGAGUUAGAUACUCUCCACAACCCAGUGAGAAUGAUUGAGUCUCAGAAUUGUUCUUUAAUCCUCAGUAUUUCCAUUAAGAAGAGCUUCUAUCAAGUGCUUCAAAAGUACCCAAUGUGAAGGAGUAAUAAUGACUCCCUGCUGGUGAGCGAAGUGUGGAGGACACAGGUCCCUCAGCCGUCCACUGGAUGCUGCACUGUUUGGCCUGAGCCAACAUGGGCAGAAAUACAGGCGGCAGCAUAAGCAGAUGCCAAGAACCUGUCUUGCUUCUACUGUUUUCAUUGGGUUACUAUAUCUCCUUUGUAGUCCAACCUGCAAAUUACUUUGAGAAGGGGAGAUACACCCCUGGACCAAUCUAGGACUAUAUUUGUUCCCUUGCUAAAGUAGGAAAAAAAAUACAGAACCUUUAAAUAUUGAACUCAAGGGCAACUAAUUUAAAUUCCUUUCCUUUCAUGUUGAAAGUCUUUUGACUGGGUUAUUCUGAAGCCAUAGCAAUUAGGUUACAGUUUACUUCUCUGUUACUUUACCAUCUUUAAAUUUGGCACCUUCAAAAGGUUGUUCUGUGCGUUUAAAAAAAAAAAGGAACUACCGUUGGAUAUUGUAUUGUUGAUGACCAUUAUUUGAUUCUGGAUUCUUUUGUGUGUUUGUGUUUGGGUGUUUUUGGUUGUUGUUUGUUUGUUUUCUAGAGACGGGGGGUCUCACUAUGUUGUCCAGACUAGAUUCGAGCCCCUGAGCUCAAGGGAUUCUCCAGCCCCAGCCUCCCGAGUAGCUGGAACUGCAGGCACCCGCCACCACGCCCAGGGACAGUUACUUGAUUCUUAAUAGUCCAGUCAUAAUGAGACAGGAUACUGCAUAAGCCAAAGACCACACAAAGUAUCAAUGUUAAGUAUCAAGAGGGUGUGGAGGAAGUGGGUUACAACCACUUUGUCUCCCAACUGUUGUAUGUUUUGCCUUUAAAAAUUUUUUUAAGUACGUUAAAUUCUAAUGUACUCAGAUGUGGCUGAAACAAUGACAAAACAUUAGUUUUCUUUAAAUAUGCGUGCUGUAUUCAUUGAUCAUAUUUCUGUAUUUAAAUAAGUACAUUUUUUAAAACAUCAUAAAGUGGAUCAGUAAUGCUGUAAUAUCACAUUUCAUGUAUUAUACAACAUUUUUGAAAUGGAGUACUCCAAAGUAAUUUGCUUCUUAUGGUUACCAAAGUUUAAAGAAUACCCUAACAUGCACUCCAAGAUUUUAAGAGGAAAGGCUUUGUGUUUUUCAUUACUGUAUUUUGAAAUCUGAGAGUGCAAAACUAGUUUUCUUAGGUAAACCCCGUAAUCAGUUUCCACAUUUACCUGUAAAAGUCAGUGGAGGGCAUACAUCUGGAAGUAGUAGUGGCGGUACACAAUGUGUGUUAAUAUGAUUUCCAAGGGGUAUCUAGAGUAAACUUUCUUAAUCACAGAUCUGAUCUGAGCAUGCCACUCCUUUCUUAAAAUCUUUUGUUGAUUUUCCAUUUCCCUAAAAGGAAGGCCCACUGGAGCAUGGGCCUUGCAAAGUCCUCUUUCUGGCUUCUGCCUGCCUGCCUUUUCAGCUUCAUCUCUGCCAUCUUCCCUGAAUGAACUUUUGUCAGUGGCCUCGCUCUUUCUACCUAUGAGAUGUUGUUUCUGCAUGUUCUUGCAUGGAAUUCUCUUCCUCCCAACCCUGUUUCAUUCCUUUAAUCUGUACAACUCUUUCUUAUCCUGAAGUCUUUAUGUUAAGGUUGCCUUUUCAGGAAGACUUUUAAUUGUAUUAGCUAAUUAAUUAAUUAAUAGUCUGAGGUAUUUGGAGCUGAGAUUCUAUGGGGAUUAGUUGCUGGAGGGUAGUUUAGAGCCAGAUUGUGAAGGACUUUCUAAACUGUGCUUUCAAGGUUUUGAACAGGAAAAUGAUGUAGACUUUCUGUUUUUUGUAAGUUUGGAGGAUGGCUUGUGUCUUAAAAGAAUAUGUAACAUAACCAUCUAAUUUGUGAGUAGUGGACUAAGGAAACACCACUCUAACCUUUUUCUCUCUGCGAUAAUCCCAUCUUCAGCCUCUCAAGCACUGUGAAAAAUCACUUUCUCUUGUUGUAUUCUUGGAGCCCCUGCUAAUUCAUUAUUGAAAAAUACCUGCUGCCUGCAUUUGGCCUUAUGUUGUCAUUUACUUGGUACUUCCUAAGCGUGGCUACUCCAAUGAAGCUUUAGUAUAUGUACUGAAAGAAGAUCCUCUCAUACUGCCACAGCCAAGAGAUAAGGUUGUAAAUCUUUAUUGGGAGAAGCCGUCAAGGACAGUUCUGUGAAAUGAAAGGAUCUCUGGAUCACCACAAAGUCUGGCUCAGUGACUAUGGCUUUGCAAACACUAAACAUUCCUGUCUCAAGUCCUGUAGAUGGCUUGAAAUAGUAUACAUAAGCAUGCCUUAUAAACAUCUUCAGUCUUUAUCAACUCUUUGGAGAUUCAGCCAUUCUUUUUUGUACUUUAGGGAAUUAAAUCAUUUUAUAAUGUAUAAAUCUGAGCAUGGCCGAUGGCAGAAGAAAUUUUGUCAUACGUUUUUAAAGAAAUAAAAAUGUAUUAUGUUUUAAAAUUCCUUUAACUGUUUUUCUUACAAAAU